GUCACCGCCUGGACCCCUUAGAAACAACGGAGUUGGAUCUUCGUUUACUUCCUCGCCAUGGCGCUCUCCGUCCUCUUUGCCCUCUCGGCCCUCCUCCUCCUCGGCCUCGACGAGGUCUCUGUUCGCCCUGCCUCCGCCGCCGCCGCCGAUGUCGUCGAGAUUACUUAUGGGUCCGUUAUCAAAUUGAUGCACGAGAAGACGAAGUACCGGUUGCACUCGCACGAUGUGCCAUAUGGAUCAGGGAGCGGGCAGCAGUCGGUCACUGGAUCUCCCGACGUGGACGAUUCCAAUAGUUACUGGAUUGUGAGGCCUCAACCAGAUUCAUCUGCCAGACAAGGUGACAUCAUCGAGACUGGAGCUAUUAUCCGAUUACAACACAUGAAAACUCGUAGAUGGCUUCAUAGCCAUUUGCAUGCUUCUCCAUUAUCUGGUAACCUUGAGGUAAGCUGCUAUGGGGGGGAUGACCGAUCAGAUACUGGUGAUUUUUGGCGUCUUGAGAUUGAGGGCAGUGGGAAAACAUGGAGGAAGGACCAGAGAGUAAGGCUUCAACAUGUUGAUACUGGUGGUUACCUACACAGCCAUGAUAAAAAGUACAAUAGGAUAGCAGGAGGGCAGCAAGAGGUAUGUGGUGUUCGGGACAAACGGGCCGAUAACAUCUGGCUGGCAGCAGAGGGUGUGUACCUUCCAGUUAUUGCAAGCAAGUGAUCAACGCAUUCUGGUGAUAGCUGACGAGCCAAUGCUGCAUUAAUCUCAUCGAGGUGAGAAUACUUUCAUGGGAAAGCAAAGAAAACUCUGAGGCCUCACCGAUCUAACAAACUAUAUUUUGAUCAUCCGUGGAGUCAACUGAGACCCUUAGCUCCUCCUGCAGCAAUGAUGAUAACUAUGAUGUCGAGAGAGGUAGAGUGGUAAUAGCAAUAAAAAUUAAUGAAUUAGUGAACAUGAUUGCAUAGAAUAAAAAGCAAGAGAGAGCUUCCAAUGAA